rnacentral:rRNA from 1 species
UUGUAGGUUAAAAAAUGUAACAAGGUCUCCGUUGGUGAACCAGCGGAGGGAUCAUUGCUGGAAUAAACGCCCUCACGGGUGCUACCCAGAAACCCUUUGUGAAUUAUACCAAACUGUUGCCUCGGCAUUAGCUGAAUCUUUUCAAGGGAUUCCCUUUUUUCUUCGGAGAAAGGAGCAGGCUGGCCGGUGGCCCUAUAAACUCUUAUUGUUAAAAUAGUACUCUGAGUAAAACAACUAUAAAUGAAUCAAAACUUUCAACAACGGAUCUCUUGGUUCUGGCAUCGAUGAAGAACGCAGCGAAAUGCGAUAAGUAAUGUGAAUUGCAGAAUUCAGUGAAUCAUCGAAUCUUUGAACGCACAUUGCGCCCGCUGGUAUUCCAGCGGGCAUGCCUGUUCGAGCGUCAUUUCAACCCUCAAAGCUUCGUCUUUGGUGUUGGGGCUUUACCCGUCAAAGGGUAUGCCCUGAAAUACAGUGGCGGGCUCGCUAGAAUUUUGAGCGUAGUAAUUUAUACCUCGUUUGUAAAGACUAGUGGGACUUCUAGCCAGAAAACUCCCCCCAUUUUUGAAAAAUUGACCUCGGAUCAGGUAGAUGGACGAUC